rnacentral:sRNA from 1 species
GCUGGGCACAGAGGUGCACGCCUGUAAUCCCAGUGGCUUGGGAAGCUGAGGCAGGAGGAUCUCGAAUUCAAAGCCAGCCUCAGCAACUUAAGCCCUAAGCAACUCAGUGAAACCCUGUCUCUA